CUCUCCAUAUCCAGAAAAUAGAGUCUUGGUCAUCUUACCCAUGAGACAAGAUUUAUAAGUUCCCAAUGAUUCAUAAUUAUUUGGGUCAAAGAAUUCUUCUUUGUAUAACUUGUUUAUCCUUGACUCACUAAUAUGACCAAGACGACAAUGCCAGAGAUAUAUGACAUUCACAUUUUCUCUCUUUUUUUUCAUAUUUUUUUCAAUAUGAAGAAUAUUUUAUUAAGUGUAAGAAUUAAAAGAUUGUUAUC
rnacentral:lncRNA from 1 species